GAUGAACGCUAGCGGCAGGCCUAAUACAUGCAAGUCGAACGGCAGCACAGUGUAGCAAUACAUGGGUGGCGAGUGGCGCACGGGUGCGUAACACGUAUGCAAUUUGCCCAUAACUGGGGGAUAGCCUUCCGAAAGGAAGAUUAAUACCCCAUAACCCAGCGAGGUGGCAUCACUUUUCUGGUAAAACUCCGGUGGUUAUGGAUAAGCAUGCGUCCGAUUAGCUAGUUGGUGAGGUAACGGCUCACCAAGGCAACGAUCGGUAGGGGGUCUGAGAGGAGGAUCCCCCACACGGGUACUGGGACACGGACCCGACUCCUACGGGAGGCAGCAGUAAGGAAUAUUGGACAAUGGAGGCAACUCUGAUCCAGCCAUGCCGCGUGAAGGAUGAAGGCCCUACGGGUUGUAAACUUCUUUUCUCUUAGAAAAACUACUGGUUUCGUACCGGUAUUGAUUGUACAAGAGGAAUAAGCAUCGGCUAACUUCGUGCCAGCCGCCGCCGUAA
rnacentral:rRNA from 1 species